rnacentral:rRNA from 1 species
UAUAGAGUUUGAUCCUGGCUCAGAUUGAACGCUGGCGGCAGGCCUAACACAUGCAAGUCGAGCGGAUGAGAGGAGCUUGCUCCUGGAUUCAGCGGCGGACGGGUGAGUAAUGCCUAGGAAUCUGCCUGGUAGUGGGGGACAACGUUUCGAAAGGAACGCUAAUACCGCAUACGUCCUACGGGAGAAAGCAGGGGACCUUCGGGCCUUGCGCUAUCAGAUGAGCCUAGGUCGGAUUAGCUAGUUGGUGAGGUAAUGGCUCACCAAGGCGACGAUCCGUAACUGGUCUGAGAGGAUGAUCAGUCACACUGGAACUGAGACACGGUCCAGACUCCUACGGGAGGCAGCAGUGGGGAAUAUUGGACAAUGGGCGAAAGCCUGAUCCAGCCAUGCCGCGUGUGUGAAGAAGGUCUUCGGAUUGUAAAGCACUUUAAGUUGGGAGGAAGGGCAGUAACUUAAUACGUUGCUGUUUUGACGUUACCGACAGAAUAAGCACCGGCUAACUCUGUGCCAGCAGCCGCGGUAAUACAGAGGGUGCAAGCGUUAAUCGGAAUUACUGGGCGUAAAGCGCGCGUAGGUGGUUUGUUAAGUUGGAUGUGAAAUCCCCGGGCUCAACCUGGGAACUGCAUUCAAAACUGACAAGCUAGAGUAUGGUAGAGGGUGGUGGAAUUUCCUGUGUAGCGGUGAAAUGCGUAGAUAUAGGAAGGAACACCAGUGGCGAAGGCGACCACCGGACGAUACGACACGAGGGCGAAAGCUGUAGUUUCUUU